rnacentral:rRNA from 1 species
AGUGAACGCUGGCGGUAGGCCUAACACAUGCAAGUCGAACGGCAGCACAGUAAGAGCUUGCUCUUACGGGUGGCGAGUGGCGGACGGGUGAGGAAUACAUCGGAAUCUACUUUUUCGUGGGGGAUAACGUAGGGAAACUUACGCUAAUACCGCAUACGACCUACGGGUGAAAGCAGGGGAUCUUCGGACCUUGCGCGAUUGAAUGAGCCGAUGUCGGAUUAGCUAGUUGGCGGGGUAAAGGCCCACCAAGGCGACGAUCCGUAGCUGGUCUGAGAGGAUGAUCAGCCACACUGGAACUGAGACACGGUCCAGACUCCUACGGGAGGCAGCAGUGGGGAAUAUUGGACAAUAGGCGCAAGCCUGAUACAGCCAUACCGCGUGGGUGAAGAAGGCCUUCGGGUUGUAAAGCCCUUUUGUUGGGAAAGAAAAGCAGCAGGUUAAUACCCCGCUGUUCUGACGGUACCCAAAGAAUAAGCACCGGCUAACUUCGUG